AACGAACGCUGGCGGCAUGCCUAACACAUGCAAGUCGAACGAGACCUUCGGGUCUAGUGGCGCACGGGUGCGUAACGCGUGGGAAUCUGCCCUUAGGUACGGAAUAACUCAGGGAAACUUGAGCUAAUACCGUAUAAUGACUCCGGUCCAAAGAUUUAUCGCCUAGGGAUGAGCCCGCGUCGGAUUAGCUUGUUGGUGAGGUAAAAGCUCACCAAGGCGACGAUCCGUAGCUGGUCNGAGAGGAUGAUCAGCCACAC
rnacentral:rRNA from 1 species